AGCUUUGUGCAGUGGCAGUAUCGUAGCCAAUGAGGUUUAUCCAAGACGUGAUUAUUGCUAAUUGAUAAAGAACACUAGUAAAGGUGAUUAUGUAAUCAUAAAAGGCAGUAUAAAUGCAUAUUUUUUCUUCUCUCAACUGAU
ensembl:snRNA U4 U4 spliceosomal RNA